GGCGAGCGAGUUCGGUUGACUGUGAGUGAGUGUGUGGGGUUUGCAGCGGCCGUGUUGAAGGGUGGUUGGGCGGGCAAAGGUUGGAUCUUUCGGUUUCUCCCCCCGAGCACUUAAGCACUUAUAAUUUUUCUCAAUCUGGCAAGAAAUAAUUAUUAAAUUUCGCUCUCAAAUCUCAAUUUCGGAACUCUUCUCUCCGUCCAUCACUACAAUACCAAAAUAGUCCACCGCCAGUUCAUCACGUACUGAGAGAGAGCACGAGAGAUACAUUCAUGGAAUAAAUAUACAAUUAACCGUCACUAGUUGCUCUCUUCAAAUCUGACCAAACCCUUCUCUUGCUCUGCUUUGCCAUGUAUGAGCAGUAGCAUAUUCAUCCCGGUUCAUUCUCUUUCCGGGUCUUCCAAGAACUAACCAUUGGGCUCUCAAUACAGAGGUACAUCCUCAAUUGGUUGAUUCAUUCUCAAGUGAACGCUGAUGCUUUGAGAACUUCGGUGGAUCCAUCCAAAGUUCCGCGGACCUACAGAAUUGGAGGUUGCAGAUGAUACAUUGCAUGAUGCACCUGGAAUAAACAUGCUUAGGACAAGGAUUGCAAAUAAAAUGGCGAGGGAUCAUAAUAUGCCUGAAAUUUCAUGACUUUGUGUUUUUGACUUUUAUAAUUUUGUUUUUAAGUAUUCACUUAUCAAAUCCAAUGUGAUGAAGUUGAACAAUGAACUAUAUUACUUCAUUAUUAUGAUGUUAUGUAUGAAAGGGUCUACGUAGAGAUCUAUGAAGUAUUCUUCUUUUAGGUA